GACGAACGCUGGCGGCGUGCCUAAUACAUGCAAGUCGAACGCAGUGGGGACGGGUGAGUAACACGUGGGUAACCUCCCAUCAGAGGGGAUAAAACUUGGAAACAGGUGCUAAACCGAUACUGAUGGAUGGACCCGGGGUGCAUUAGCUAUUUGGUGAGGUAACGGCGCACCAAGGCCACUAUGCAUAGCCUCCCGUAGGGGGUGAUCGGCCACACUGGGACUGGGACACUGCACAGACUCCUACUGGAGGCAGCAGUAGGGAAUCUUCGGCAACUGACGCAAGUCUGACCGAGCAAUGCCGCGUGAUUGAAUAAGGUUUUCGGAUCGUAAAACUCUGUUGUUAUAGAAGCGGUAUCUAACCAGAAAGCCACGGCUAACUACGUGCCAGCAGCCGCGGUAAUAC
rnacentral:rRNA from 1 species